CUACGGGUGGCAGCAGUGGGGAAUAUUGGACAAUGGGGGAAACCCUGAUCUAGCCAUGCCGCGUGAGUGAUGAAGGCCUUAGGGUUGUAAAGCUCUUUCGCUGGGGAAGAUAAUGACGGUACCCAGUAAAGAAACCCCGGCUAACUCCGUGCCAGCAGCCGCGGUAAUACGGAGGGGGUUAGCGGUGUUCGGAAUUACUGGGCGUAAAGCGCGCGUAGGCGGGCUAUUAAGUCAGGGGUGAAACCCCGGGGCUCAACCCCGGAACUGCCUUUGAUACUGGUAGUCUUGAGUUCGAGAGAGGUGAGUGGAAUUCCGAGUGUAGAGGUGAAAUUCGUAGAUAUUCGGAGGAACAUCAGUGGCGAAGGCGACUCACUGGCUCGAUACUGACGCUGAGGUGCGAAAGUGUGGGGAGCAAACAGGAUUAGAUACCCUAGUAGUC
rnacentral:rRNA from 1 species